UGCAUCCUUUUUAUUAUUGGACAUCCAUAAUACUAUUACCACAUUACAAGUUAUCCUCACAUUCUUCCCACCGAAAUCCACCUUAAAGGAGGCACAUCGAAGCUGCAAGAACCAAAUCCGUCAUCCAUGACGAAGCCUCUACCCAUGGCCAACAUCUUCCUCUGUUUCCUUCUGCUAUCAUCGCUCAUCGCUUCGCCUCUGGAGUCCGCAAGGAUCGUCCACGAACACCGCGCCCACAUCGUUGCAGGUGAGGAGAUGCCUGAUCGCCAUCUACCCGACGUGUUUGGGGAAAUCAAGAGGGCGCAGCCCCGCCAAUUCGCGCCGCCGUCGCCACAAGCGAACGAGCAACGCUACCCCCCGAUCUGGCAUGGUGGAUCCCCCUCUGUCUAACUGUUUGUGACUCUAUGCAGACCUGAUCGAAAAAUAAUAACAUGAGAAUUCUGUGCUUCA